rnacentral:rRNA from 1 species
UACGAAGGAUGCAAGCGUUAUCCGGAUUUAUGGGGUUUAAAGGGUGCGUAGGCGGACUUAUAAGUCAGUGGUGAAAUCUCGUUGCUUAACAACGAACGUGCCAUUGAUACUGUAGGUCUUGAGUACAGAUGCCGUUGGCGGAAUGUGUCAUGUAGCGGUGAAAUGCAUAGAUAUGACACAGAACACCGAUUGCGAAGGCAGCUGACGAAACUGUAACUGACGCUGAGGCACGAAAGCGUGGGGAUCAAACAGG